AUAGCUCAGUGGUAGAGCCCUUGCCUAGCAUGUAUGAGGCCCUGGGUUUGAUCCCAGU
rnacentral:tRNA from 1 species